GUCUUCUCAUCAACUUCUUUUGAUCUUCUUUUUAGAUCCAAGGAAGAUCGUGCCUUCUCUGUGGUAGGACAUAAACUCUGGAAUAGUAGCCUUUACCAUGCGAGUUAUGAUUCAUCAGAUGAUGAAUGGGCUGCAAAGCCACCAGCAAAAUGUCCCUGCCAGCCUGCAAGACCUGUAGCUGCAUCCAGAGGUGCCAGGAGAAGAGGGAGACAGAGACGAUACACUCAAGCUAAUUGGAAAGUAAACUGUGUGCCACAUUUCUAUUGGAGAUAUAAACCAACUGUGUGUUCAAACAGCUCCAAUGCCUGUUCUUUUGAAUUCUCUUAGCAUACAUUCACAUCAUUAGCUUAUGUUUCAGAUGGCAAUCGGCCUCAAUACCAAUUAUAUUGUUUUCUCAGAGACAUAGUGUGUGAGUUUGGAAGUAAAUGUCUAAUCCUGUUUUUGUUAUUCAGUAGUGAUGGUACUGGAUGGUUGCAUCAAAAGCAAGAUGUGGACUCAAACGGUUUAUGAAAAAUGUGGGGAUACAAACUGUUUGUAUUGGCAGAUUCCCUCGUUAUACCUGGGACUUUGUCUAUGAGGGCAAGUCUACAGCAGCAGAGAAAUGUAAUGACUGAGCUAUGAUGUGGCCAAGACCCUUGUAAAUGAGGUGUUGGAAACCGGUUACAAGCUAUUUGUGGAUAAAUUCUACUCCAGUCCAAUCUCUUCAGAGACCUCCUUGGAAAAAAUAACUACGCUUGUGGCACCAUCUCACCAAACCGAAAAAGGCUUUCCCAAUACAACAGUGAACAAGAUGCCCAAGAACGCAACACAUGGCAAUAUUCACUGGAUAAGGGACAACAAUCUGUUGUUUGUGGAGUGGAAAGACAUAAGGGAACUGCUGAUGGUAUCCACUUUUCACAAGGCCUUCAGGGGUAAUUAUGUGUAGAGAAGGGUCAAAGGGAGAGAUGGCCAUUGGACUAGUAGACGUCCCUGUUCCAGCGGUUAUCAAGGACUACAAUAGGCACAUGGAUAAAGUGGAUCUCUCUGAUGCCCUGAUUGGCUAAUACAAUGUCUUGCACAAAACCAAAAUGUGGUUCCAUUCUUUUUUCUUACCACUUUGUGAACAUUGCUGUGGUUAAUGCAUUAAUCUUGCAUCAGCAACUGGCCAAGUGAAGAAAGGAGAAACCCCUUUCUCAGAAGGUAUUCAGAGAGAAUUUUGGAGCUUGCAGACAUUCAGACUCCAACAAUGACUAAAAGGCAUUUAUUACACAUUUAAAAGAAGUCUUAUU